UACGAAGGGGGGCUAGCGUUGCUCGGAAUCACUGGGCGUAAAGGGUGCGUAGGCGGGUCUUUAAGUCAGGGGUGAAAUCCUGGAGCUCAACUCCAGAACUGCCUUUGAUACUGAGGAUCUUGAGUACGGGAGAGGUGAGUGGAACUGCGAGUGUAGAGGUGAAAUUCGUAGAUAUUCGCAAGAACACCAGUGGCGAAGGCGGCUCACUGGCCCGUAACUGACGCUGAGGCACGAAAGCGUGGGGGAGCAAACAGG
rnacentral:rRNA from 1 species